UACGUAGGGGGCAAGCGUUGUCCGGAAUCAUUGGGCGUAAAGAGCGUGUAGGCGGUCCGGUAAGUCCGCUGUGAAAGUCGGGGGCUCAACCCUCGAAUGCCGGUGGAUACUGUCGGGCUAGAGUGCGGAAGAGGCGAGUGGAAUUCCUGGUGUAGCGGUGAAAUGCGCAGAUAUCGGGAGGAACACCAAUGGCGAAGGCAGCUCGCUGGGACGUGACUGACGCUGAGACGCGAAAGCGUGGGGAGCAAACAGG
rnacentral:rRNA from 1 species